rnacentral:rRNA from 1 species
AUUGAACGCUGGCGGCAGGCUUAACACAUGCAAGUCGAGCGGAGAUGAGGUGCUUGCACCUUAUCUUAGCGGCGGACGGGUGAGUAAUGCUUAGGAAUCUGCCUAUUAGUGGGGGACGACAUUCCGAAAGGAAUGCUAAUACCGCAUACGCCCUACGGGGGGAAAGCAGGGGAUCUUCGGACCUUGCGCUAAUAGAUGAGCCUAAGUCGGAUUAGCUAGGUGGUGGGGUAAAGGCCUACCAAGGCGACGAUCUGUAGCGGGUCUGAGAGGAUGAUCCGCCACACUGGGACUGAGACACGGCCCAGACUCCUACGGGAGGCAGCAGUGGGGAAUAUUGGACAAUGGGCGGAAGCCUGAUCCAGCCAUGCCGCGUGUGUGAAGAAGGCCUUUUGGUUGUAAAGCACUUUAAGCGAGGAGGAGGCUACCUGGAUUAAUACUCUAGGAUAGUGGACGUUACUCGCAGAAUAAGCACCGGCUAACCCUGUGCCAGCAGCCGCCGUAACAC